GCCACCCCUCACCCAGUUCGACGCUGUUUUCCAGGAAACCUCCGUGUUCCAGGAGGCCGUAGCUGCCCUGCCCGUCACAAGGAUGCCGCCGCCCCUCGCCCAGCUCGAUGGCUUAUUGCUACUACAACGCGGUGGGAUAACAUCACUACAGAUGGAAGGUAUCAAACUGACCAACUCAUCUCAAAUACUAUGAAGAAAUGAGUUUACAAAUGACAUGAAUAGUUCAGUGUGAAACAUCAAGACAGAUCGAGAGGGUGUUUGCCUAGACCUAUAAUUUAUCCACGAUCUGGAUUAUGUUGGUAAUCAGGGGUAUGUGUCUAUGCUCUCUUAGGAAUGGAUUUCUUUGCUUUCAUGAACGGGUCAGAUACAUGGAUUUUUGUCCUCAGCACCACCAAGGUAUUCUAUGUUGGCCAGAAGAAUAAAGGAUCGUUACUCCAGUUUUCUAGCUGGUGGAGCAAUAACGGCUGCUGGAAGAUUAGUGGUCAAAGACGGAAUUUUAAAGGCAAUAUGGCCAUACAAU